rnacentral:rRNA from 1 species
CGCCCUUAGAGUUUGAUCAUGGCUCAGAUUGAACGCUGGCGGCAGGCUUAACACAUGCAAGUCGAGCGGGGAAGUAGCUUGCUACUGCCUAGCGGCGGACGGGUGAGUAAUACUUAGGAAUCUGCCUAUUAGUGGGGGACAACGUUCCGAAAGGAGCGCUAAUACCGCAUACGCCCUACGGGGGAAAGCAGUUCGUUGCACUAAUAGAUGAGCCUAAGUCGGAUUAGCUAGUUGGUGGGGUAAAGGCCUACCAAGGCGACGAUCUGUAGCGGGUUUGAGAGGAUGAUCCGCCACACUGGGACUGAGACACGGCCCAGACUCCUACGGGAGGCAGCAGUGGGGAAUAUUGGACAAUGGGCGCAAGCCUGAUCCAGCCAUGCCGCGUGUGUGAAGAAGGCCUUAUGGUUGUAAAGCACUUUAAGCGAGGAGGGAGGCUUACUAGUAAUCUAGUAAGUGGACGUUACUCGCAGAAUAAGCACCGGCUAACUCUGUGCAGCAGCCGCGGUAAUACAGAG